rnacentral:lncRNA from 1 species
GUGUCUAUCAUCAGAGUUAGUCUCAGUCCAUCAGAACCAGGUUGGCUCUUUUAUAGAUAGUUGAGGCAUGCAAGAACUCAUUCUUUAUCUUUAAAUUCACUGAUUGUACUGUAUGAACAUCUCAUGUCAUUAAAAUCUGUCAGUCGCUAUCCAGUACUUGCAGAAAGGAAUCAUCACAUUCAGAACUCGUUCAUGGCUCUUCACCAUUUGUAUCCUCUCCCAACAGUUUUAUUUAUUAUUUUGAAUUAUAAAAAACAUAAUGGGUGUUGUUGCUAGAACUAUUAUUGUUGUUAUCACUAGGUCACUACAUUGCAUUUGUAUAGACGACUAUUUAUGCAUUUACACAUACUUUAUGAUAAACAGUAUAUACACAAUAAUUUGAAACCAUCUCGACGAUAACAAAGAUAGUUAUUGUUAUUAACAUCAA